GUCCACGCCCUAAACGAUGUCAACUGGUUGUUGGGAAGGUUCCUUCUCAGUAACGAAGCUAACGCGUGAAGUUGACCGCCUGGGGAGUACGGCCGCAAGGUUGAAACUCAAAGGAAUUGACGGGACCCGCACAAGCGGUGGAUGAUGUGGUUUAAUUCGAUGCAACGCGAAAAACCUUACCUACCCUUGACAUGUCUGAGAUCCUGUAGAGAUAUGGGAGUGCUCGAAAGAGAAUCAGAACACAGGUGCUGCAUGGCCGUCGU
rnacentral:rRNA from 1 species